UCCCAAACCCAAUGUGAACGUUACCAAACUGUUGCCUCGGCGGGAUCUCAUGCCCCGGGUGCGUCGCAGCCCCGGACCAAGGCGCCCGCCGGAGGACCAACCAAAACUCUUUUUGUAUACCCCCUCGCGGGUUUUUUAUAAUCUGAGCCUUCUCGGCGCCUCUCGUAGGCGUUUCGAAAAUGAAUCAAAACUUUCAACAACGGAUCUCUUGGUUCUGGCAUCGAUGAAGAACGCAGCGAAAUGCGAUAAGUAAUGUGAAUUGCAGAAUUCAGUGAAUCAUCGAAUCUUUGAACGCACAUUGCGCCCGCCAGUAUUCUGGCGGGCAUGCCUGUCCGAGCGUCAUUUCAACCCUCGAACCCCUCCGGGGGGUCGGCGUUGGGGAUCGGCCCUCCUCUUGCGGGGGCCGUCUCCGAAAUACAGUGGCGGUCUCGCCGCAGCCUCUCCUGCGCAGUAGUUUGCACACUCGCAUCGGGAGCGCGGCGCGUCCACAGCCGUUAAACACCCAACUUCUGAAAUGUUGACCUCGGAUCAGGUAGGAAUACCCGCUGAACUUAAGCAUAUCA
rnacentral:rRNA from 1 species